rnacentral:rRNA from 1 species
UGGGGAAUAUUGCACAAUGGGCGAAAGCCUGAUGCAGCAACGCCGCGUGAGUGAUGAAGGUCUUCGGAUUGUAAAGCUCUGUCUUUUGGGACGAUAAUGACGGUACCAAAGGAGGAAGCCACGGCUAACUACGUGCCAGCGGCCGCGGUAAUACGUAGGUGGCGAGCGUUGUCCGGAUUUACUGGGCGUAAAGGGUGCGUAGGCGGAUGUUUAAGUGAGAUGUGAAAUACCCGGGCUUAACUUGGGUGCUGCAUUUCAAACUGGAUAUCUAGAGUGCAGGAGAGGAGAAUGGAAUUCCUAGUGUAGCGGUGAAAUGCGUAGAGAUUAGGAAGAACACCAGUGGCGAAGGCGAUUCUCUGGACUGUAACUGACGCUGAGGCACGAAAGCGUGGGUAGCAAACAGGAUUAGAUACCCUGGUAGUCCACGCCGUAAACGAUGAGUACUAGGUGUAGGAGGUAUCGACCCCUUCUGUGCCGCAGUAAACACAUUAAAGUACUCCGC